GGGGAAUAUUGGACAAUGGGCGCAAGCCUGAUCCAGCCAUACCGCGUGGGUGAAGAAGGCCUUCGGGUUGUAAAGCCCUUUUGUUGGGAAAGAAAUCCAGCUGGCUAAUACCCGGUUGGGAUGACGGUACCCAAAGAAUAAGCACCGGCUAACUUCGUGCCAGCAGCCGCGGUAAUACGAAGGGUGCAAGCGUUACUCGGAAUUACUGGGCGUAAAGCGUGCGUAGGUGGUCGUUUAAGUCCGUUGUGAAAGGCCUGGGCUCAACCUGGGAAAUGCAGUGGAAAAUGGACGGAUUGAGUGUGGUAGGGGGUAGCCGAAUUCCUUGUGUAGCAGUGAAAUGCCUAGAGAUCAGGAGGAAAAUCCCUGGCGAAGGCAGCUACCUGGACCAACACUGAAAAUUAGGCAAGAAAGCCUUGGGAGCAAACA
rnacentral:rRNA from 1 species